rnacentral:rRNA from 1 species
AUUGAACGCUGGCGGCAUGCCUUACACAUGCAAGUCGAACGGUAACGGGCCUUCGGGUGCCGACGAGUGGCGAACGGGUGAGUAAUGUAUCGGAACGUACCUUUCAGUGGGGGAUAACGUAGCGAAAGUUACGCUAAUACCGCAUAUUCUGUGCGCAGGAAAGCAGGGGAUCGCAAGACCUUGCGCUGAUUGAGCGGCCGAUAUAAGAUUAGCUAGUUGGUGAGGUAAAGGCUCACCUAGGCGAUGAUCUGGAGCGGGUCUGAGAGGAUGAUCCGCCACACUGGAACUGGGACACGGUCCAGACUCCUACGGGAGGCGGCAGUGGGGAAUUUUGGACAAUGGGGGCAACCCUGAUCCAGCCAUGCCGCGUGAGUGAAGCAGGCCUUCGGGUUGUAAAGCUCUUUCGGCCGGGAAGAAAUCGUAUCAGCUAAUACCUGGUGCGGAUGACGGUACCGGCAUAAGAAGCACCGGCUAACUACGUGCCAGCAGCCGCCGUAAAAC